UUACCCUUUAUUCCAUUCGUUGUUCUCUCGUCUCCCUCACUUAUUCUCCCUCUUCUUCAUCUCUCUUGCCUUCUUCUCCCUUCUUCCUCCUUCGACCCAACAACAACAACAACACUUAAACCCAGAAAAAACCCUAAUCGGCCCAAAACAACAACAACAAACAACGAUACAUGAAUUUAUGAGUUGCGUAUUACCUUUAACAUCGAGACUUCGUGUUUGUUCUUUGAUUCUGCUGGUUCUGAUUCCUAACCUCUUUCUUUUUGUUUUGCAGAUACAAGGAUGGCGAUGA